rnacentral:lncRNA from 1 species
AUGUAUACACACACACACACGUAGCACACAUGUAAGCUAUGUAGCAGUCAUGUAAGCUAUGAAGCACAACCAGCAUCUAUGAACUUAUACUCCAAUUUAAGAAAUAGUCUCUAUUGCCAAGGAGGUCUCUAUUUGCUGCUUCCUGAUACAACUGUGCAAUGGUGUUUUUAAUCUUUAUAGAAAUGUUUUCAUAUUGUUGAUUUUUUUUCAGAUAACGCUGUGUUUUGUGAUUGAGUCACAUUGACGCAUGAGGUUGUAGUUAUUCAUUCAACUGUGUGAACAUAUGAUGCAUUUUCCAGUGCCCUUCUCAAAGGACAUUUGGGGAAGGAAACAAAAAGGGUAACUUGACCAACAUCCAACACCUAGAUCACCCCUUCUGUGUCAUUCUCUGAGGAAAACAAGUUCUUCUCAAGGAGGAAAGUCUGAACUUGUCAAACAGUCCCUUAAGAAGCCGAAGUUACCAGAAGGUCGUUUUGAUGCACCAGAGGAUUCCCAUUUAGAGAAAGAACCACUGGAAAAAUUUCCAGAUGAUGUUAAUCCAGUGACCAAAGAAAAAGGUGGACCCAGGGGCCCAGAACCUACCCGAUAUGGAGAUUGGGAACGAAAAGGACGCUGUAUUGAUUUUUAAGUCGCAUAUUCUUUAACUUCAAUAUUGUUUUCUGAAUAUGUACAUCUGAAUUAACUUAUUUCUGAUUAUUUUCUUUCUUUAUAUCCUUUAUGUCGUGUAGUUUGUAUAAUGUGUUUAAAUAUAUAUAUAUAUGAUGGCUUUGGAAGAAAAUAUGCUGCUGUAAAUUAGGAAAGGGAGACCAGCCUGACCAAUAUGGAGAAAUCUCGCCUUUACUAAAAAUACAAAAUUAGCCAGGCGUGGUGGCAUGCACCUGUAAUCCCAACUACUCUGGAGGCUGAGGCAGGAGAAUGGCUUAAACCCAGGAGGUGGAGGUUGCGGUGAGCUGAGGUCGCGCCAUUGCACUCCAGCCUGGGCAACAAGAGCGAAACUCCGUCUCAAAAAAAAAGAUAGGAAAGGGAAAAUAUUUUUUCAUUAACAUAUAUUAAUUUAAUGAGUAUAGAAAUGAUUCUUGUUUUUUUGAGACAGAGUCUCUCUCUCUCACCCAGGCUGGAGUGGAGUGGCACUAUCCCAACUCACUGCAACUUCCGCCCCGCCAGGUUCAAGCAAUUCUCCUGCCUCAGCCUCCUGAGUAGCUGGGAUUACAGACACCCACCAUUGCGCCUGGCUAAUUUUUGUAUUUUUAGUAAAGACAAGGUUUCACCAUGUUAGCCAGGCUGGUCUCGAACUCCUGACCUCAGUUGAUCCACCUGCCUCAGCCUCCCAAAGUGCUGGGAUUGCAGGUGUGAGCCACCACGCCCAGCCUAGAAAUGAUUCUUAGAGCUGUAGGCCUUUACUUCAUCAUUUUUCAGUUUAAAUUAAUCAGUUGCUUAUAAAAUGCAUACAUAAAUAAAAUAAUUUUUAAAAAA